rnacentral:sRNA from 1 species
ACUCCUCUCACCAUGAACAGCACUCACCAGGGAAGCCAGAGUCAUGGCCUGAGGCUGAUGGAAAUUUCCAAAUUCAUAACCCCGCCAUCUAGCCGCUAGCCUCGAGAUGCCAAAGCUACUAGCACUUGGCGCGAGCGAUCCUGAACUUGGCGCAUCCACUUGGGACAAAAGAACCUUGGAAAUGGUGCAUACUCCACUGAGAAUGCCAGUUAGCCCCUUAGGCAGCAGCAUUAUUCUCUUGAGAUUUUCAUUUCCAUUUUCUUCCAUUUUCAUCCUCCUGCUAACACCUCUUGAUCUUUUCAAUUGGUCAUCUUUUACGAUUCUCUUUGCUGGCUUCAAUAACUUCCUUGACUCUCCUGC